AUUGAACGCUGGCGGCAGGCUUAACACAUGCAAGUCGAACGAGUGGCGGACGGGUGAGUAAUGCCUGGGAAACUGGCUGAUGGAGGGGGAUAACUACGGGAAACGGUAGCUAAUACCGCAUACCAUCGGAUGUGCCCAGAUGGGAUUAGGUAGUUGGUGGGGUAAAGGCUCACCAAGCCGACGAUCCCUAGCUGGUCUGAGAGGAUGACCAGCCACACUGGGACUGAGACACGGCCCAGACUCCUACGGGAGGCAGCAGUGGGGAAUAUUGCGCAAUGGGCGCAACCCUGAUGCAGCCAUGCCGCGUGAAUGAAGAAGGCCUUCGGGUUGUAAAGUUCUUUCGGUAGGGAGGCGUUAACUACAGAAGAAGCACCGGCUAACUCCGUGCCAGCAGCCGCGGUAAUUC
rnacentral:rRNA from 1 species